GUGCUUGCUUCCGCAGCACGUGCACCAAAAUGGGAACAAUACAGAGAAGAUUAGCAUGCCACUGCACGAGGAUAACACACAACAUGUAUGAAGCAUUCCAUAUUUUU